ACUUAGAGGACAUUCAAGAAUUGUCAUAUUAUGGGGAAUCAUUCAAAGACACUUUGCUCUAGUAAUUCAUUCGGGUAAAAUGAUAAAAAACAUUCGAAAAGUUCAGCGGUAUAUCUCAUGUUCCUCUGAUACGUACAAGCUCGGCCGGCUCGUUCUGAAAGUACUAGUCACCAGCUUUCUAACGUGCCCUCUAACGUCAAAUUUUAUUUAGAACUGGCCAGGUAAAUGGAGUUCAAAGUUAGCGGUUAUUCCAAAAAAAGUUGUUCUAGCGAUUAUAGGUAUUGAGCCAACCUUUCAGAUUCUGGUCUAAUCAU